rnacentral:sRNA from 2 species
UUGUUUCAAACGCUGAGUUCUGCACUGCCGCAGAAACGGGGGAACCAUCGACGGCUCUCUGUCGUUGUCCAAUGGACGAUGGCAGGGAGCGUCACGGGGUGAAUCGCAAGGGCACGAUAAGUGCCAAGCGUAGGGCGUCUCUCGCGCCCGAAUCCGACAGCUAACCUCGCAAGCGUCAACGGGAGAGGCC